rnacentral:tRNA from 1 species
UCCAGCGGCAGCCGGGCGGUGAGGACGGCGCCGUCGGACACGGCGUCGGCGGGGUACUUGCCGACGUUCUUCCGUUCGAAGCGGAGCCGCAGCGGC